UAAGAACCCCAAACUCCCAAAACAAAAGACUUCCUGUCUCCCUCCCAACGAUAAGACCUUUUCUCUGAACAGAUCGUGUAUAGCUAGAACACUGUGAGAGUGUAACUGUUAUAAAAGAAGGCAGAGGUAUUUGUCAGAUUCACUCCUGCACUAGUACUGCACCCCCAUCCAUGGGGCAGGCAGGGAGGUCGACUCUGCAAGCUUGUUGUGUUACUUUGUACAUUAGGUGUUGACAAAUGACAAUUAACAUGAAAGAAGCGGGAAUAAUCGGAGGAAUUAAACGUCCUCUAGGCCAGAUUGCCAGGGUGAGUGGUUAUCAUAUUCAAUGUAUAAACCACUAAUUCAAUGUAGUUUUAAUUAGGAAUUAUGUUUGAUUGGACAAUCAUUGUUUUCAUUUAUUUGUUGGGAAAGUUAUCCAUAUAACGAUGGAAGAACUUUAUUUGUGAUUAUAGUUUCAUGCAAUAUUGAUUAAGUUAAUGGAAUAUAAACAACCUGUUUAUCAUCAUGAGUCGACUUGACGUCAUAUUGUUGGAAUUCGUAUCUUGGAGUCGUACACAAAUAAUAUGUUUAUUGCUAUUAUGUGUGUUUUUCAAACAUUUCCUCAUAUCUAUUUAAUUCUUUUAACUUUGUUUAUUUCUUCAGGUUUUACGGUUUUAUGGUUUAUGGUUUAACUGUAAAUUGCGUUGUACAUGAAAUAAAAAGAACCGCAACACAAA